rnacentral:rRNA from 1 species
CAAAUCCCUAAAAGACCAUCCCAGUUCGGAUUGCAGGCUGCAACCCGCCUGUAUGAAGUUGGAAUCGCUAGUAAUCGCGGAUCAGCAUGCCGCGGUGAAUACGUUCUCGGGCCUUGUACACACCGCCCGUCACACCAUGGGAGUCGGUAACACCCGAAGUCUGUAGCCUGACGCAAGAGGGCGCAGCCGAAGGUGGGAUUGAUGACUGGGGUGAAGUCGUAACAAGGUACC